GAUGAACGCUGGCGGCGUGCCUAAUACAUGCAAGUCGAGCGAACGGACGAGAAGCUUGCUUCUCUGAUGUUAGCGGCGGACGGGUGAGUAACACGUGGAUAACCUACCUAUAAUACUGGGAUAACUUCGGGAAACCGUAGCUAAUACCGGAUAAUAUUUUGAACCGCAUGGUUCAAAAGUGAAAGACGGUCUUGCUGUCACUUAUAGAUGGAUCCGCGCUGCAUUAGCUAGUUGGUAAGGUAACGGCUUACCAAGGCAACGAUGCAUAGCCGACCUGAGAGGGGGAUCGGCCACACUGGAACUGAGACACGGUCCAGAGUACUACGGGAGGCAGCAGUAGGGAAUCUUCCGCAAUGGGCGAAAGCCUGACGGAGCAACGCCGCGUGAGUGAUGAAGGUCUUCGGAUCGUAAAACUCUGUUAUUAGGGAAGAACAUAUGUGUAAGUAACUGUGCACAUCUUGACGGUACCUAAUCAGAAAGCCACGGCUAACUACGUG
rnacentral:rRNA from 1 species